rnacentral:rRNA from 1 species
GUGAGGAAUAUUGGACAAUGGGCGCAAGCCUGAUCCAGCCAUGCCGCGUGCAGGAAGACGCAUCUAUGGUGUGUAAACUGCUUUUGUACGGGAAGAAACACUCCCUCGUGAGGGAGCUUGACGGUACCGUAAGAAUAAGGAUCGGCUAACUCCGUGCCAGCAGCCGCGGUAAUACGGAGGAUCCAAGCGUUAUCCGGAAUCAUUGGGUUUAAAGGGUCCGUAGGCGGUUUAAUAAGUCAGUGGUGAAAGCCCAUCGCUCAACGAUGGAACGGCCAUUGAUACUGUUAGACUUGAAUUACAAGGAAGUAACUAGAAUAUGUAGUGUAGCGGUGAAAUGCUUAGAUAUUACAUGGAAUACCAAUUGCGAAGGCAGGUUACUACUUGUGGAUUGACGCUGAUGGACGAAAGCGUGGGGAUCGAACAGGAUUAGAUACCCCUGUAGUCC